rnacentral:rRNA from 1 species
UAAAGGGCAUACGGUGGAUGCCUUGGCACAGAUAGGCGAAGAAGGACGUGGUAACCUGCGAAAAGCUUCGGGGAGCUGGAAACGAGCUUUGAUCCGGAGAUGUCCGAAUGGGGCAACCCACUGCGAGUCAUGUCGCAGUACCCUGCAAAGGGAGCAAACCCUGGGAACUGAAACAUCUAAGUACCGGGAGGAGAAGAAAACAAACGUGAUUUCCUGAGUAGUGGCGAGCGAAACGGAAAGAGCCUAAACCGACUUCUUUAGGAGUCGGGGUUGUAGGACCUCAGAACGCUACUUCGCGUGAUAGUAGAACGGCAUGGAAAGGCCGGCCAGAGAAGGUGAGAGCCCUGUAAACGAAAUCACAAAGAGAGCAAGAGGGAUCCUGAGUACCGCGGAGCAGGUGAAAUUCUGCGGGAAUCUGCCGGAACCAUCCGGUAAGGCUAAAUACUCAUCUGUGACCGAUAGUGAACAAGUACCGUGAGGNNNNNNNNNNNNNNNGUGAGGGAAAGGUGAAAAGCACCCUUCAGAAGGGAGUGAAAUAGUACCUGAAACCGUAUGCUUACAAACGGUGGGAGCGAGUCAUUGGCUACGGCUGAUGAGGAGUGACCGCGUGCCUUUUGCUUAAUGAGCCAACGAGUUACUCGUCACAUGCAAGGGUAAGGUUUUGAGAACCGCACCCGCAGCGAAAGCGAGUCUGAAUAGGGCGUAUAGUAUGUGGCGGUAGACGCGAAACCGUGUGAUCUAUCCAUGGCCAGGAUGAAGCGCGGGUAACACCGCGUGGAGGUCCGAACCGGUGCGGGUUGAAAACUGCUCGGAUGAGCUGUGGAUAGGGGUGAAAGGCCAAUCAAACUCGGAGAUAGCUCGUACUCCCCGAAAUGUUUUUAGGAACAGCCUUGUGUUAGUCUGCCGGAGGUAGGACCCUGAUAGGGCUAGGGCCGUCACAACGGUACCAAACCCUGAUAAAUUACAAAUACCGGACAGAUGAUGCGCAGGAGUGAGGCAGUGAGGGAUAAGCUUCAUUGCCGAGAGGGAAACAACCCAGACCAUCGAUUAAGGCCCCCAAGUGUAUGCUAACAGAGAAAGGAAGUUGAGUUGCUGUGACAACCAGGAUGUUGGCUUAGAAGCAGCCAUUCAUUUAAAGAGUGCGUAAUAGCUCACUGGUCAAGCGACUCGGCGCCGAUAAUAAUCGGGACUAAAGCAUGCCGCCGAAGUCAUGGACUUCAGUAAUGGAGUGGUAGGGGAGCAUUCUAUAUGCGUUGAAGGUGCUGGGGCGACCCGUGCUGGAGCGUAUAGAAGAGCAAAUGUUGGCAUAAGUAACGAGAAAACAAGUGAGAAUCUUGUUCGCCGAAAGUCUAAGGUUUCCUGAGCUACGUUCGUCGACUCAGGGUUAGUCGGCCCCUAAGGUGAGGCUGAGAAGCGUAACUGAUGGGAAGCAGGCAAUUUGCAAUAUUCCUGCACCGCCAAAGAUGUUAAACAGAGGGACGCAGAAAGGUAGCUUCACCGGCUUAAUGGCUAUUCCGGUGAGGUCAACUACGCUGCCGAGAAAAGCUCUGUGUAUUGUCAAGGCGACCGUACCGCAAACCGACACAGGUAGACGGGUAGAAUAUACUCAGGCGCGCGUGUGAGCCGUGGUUAAGGAACUCGGCAAAUUAACCCCGUAACUUCGGGAGAAGGGGUGCCGCAGCAAUGCGGCCGCAGUGAAAAGGUCCAAGCGACUGUUUAACAAAAACACAUCUCUCUGCAAACUCGAAAGAGGAAGUAUAGGGAGUGACACCUGCCCGGUGCCGGAAGGUUAAGAGGAGAGGUCAAUCCGCAAGGGUGAAGCUUUGAAUCGAAGCCCCGGUAAACGGCGGCCGUAACUAUAACGGUCCUAAGGUAGCGAAAUUCCUUGUCGGGUAAGUUCCGACCUGCACGAAUGGUGUAACGAUUUGGACACUGUCUCAACCACGGGCUCGGUGAAAUUGUGGUUCCGGUGAAGACGCCGGAUACCCGCAUAUGGACGGAAAGACCCCGUGCACCUUUACUAUAACUUAUCAUUGGGUUCGGCUAAAACAUGCGUAGGAUAGGUGGGAGGCUAUGAACCGGGAUCUUCGGGUUCUGGGGAGCCACUGGUGAAAUACCACCCUUGUUUUAGCUGGAUUCUAACCUGGUGGUGUGUAACCAUAGGGACAGUGGUAGGCGGGUAGUUUGACUGGGGCGGUCGCCUCCUAAAAAGUAACGGAGGCUCUCAAAGGUUCCCUCAGCACGGUUGGUAAUCGUGCCUCGAGUGUAAAGGCAGAAGGGAGCUUGACUGCGAGACAGACAAGUCGAGCAGGUGCGAAAGCAGGACUUAGUGAUCCGGCGGCACUGAAUGGAAGGGCCGUCGCUCAAAGGAUAAAAGGUACGCCGGGGAUAACAGGCUGAUCUUCCCCAAGAGUCCACAUCGACGGGAAGGUUUGGCACCUCGAUGUCGGCUCAUCGCAUCCUGGGGCUGGAGAAGGUCCCAAGGGUUCGGCUGUUCGCCGAUUAAAGCGGUACGUGAGCUGGGUUCAGAACGUCGUGAGACAGUUCGGUCCCUAUCCUAUGCGGGCGGAGGAUACUUGAGGGGUCUCGUUCUUAGUACGAGAGGACCGGAAUGACCGGACCGACGGUGAAUCUGUUGUUACGCCAGUAGCAUUGCAGAGUAGCCAUGUCCGGAAAGGAUAAGUGCUGAAUGCAUCUGAAGCACGAAACCUGCCCCAAGAUGAGGUAUCCCAGCAGAAAUGCUCUAAGGACCCAAGGAGAUGACUUGGUUGAUAGGCUUUACGUGGAAGUGUAGUAAUACAUGCAGCGGAGAAGUACUAAUAGUCCGAGAGGCUUAUCA